rnacentral:rRNA from 1 species
CUGGCUCAGAACGAACGCUGGCGGCGCGUCUUAAGCAUGCAAGUCGAACGGCAAGAGGUAGCAAUACCUCCUAGAGUGGCGGACUGGUGAGUAACACGUGGAUGACAUACCCUUCAGAUGGGGAUAGCUAUUAGAAAUAGUAGAUAAUACCGAAUACGAGCACAGGGGUUAGAGAUCUGUGAGGAAAGGAGCUAAGGCUCCGCUGAAGGAAUGGCCUGCGGCCCAUUAGCUAGUUGGUGAGGUAAGAGCCCACCAAGGCGAUGAUGGGUAUCCGGCCUUAGAGGGUGAACGGACACAUUGGGACUGAGAUACGGCCCAGACUCCUACGGGAGGCAGCAGCUAAGAAUAUUCCGCAAUGGACGAAAGUCUGACGGAGCGACGCCGCGUGGAUGAAGAAGGCCGGAAGGUUGUAAAAUCCUUUUGAAACUGAAGAAUAAGCGUUGUAGGGAAUGACAGCGUGGUGACAGUAGGUUUUGAAUAAGCAACGGCUAAUUACGUGCCAGCCGCCGC